GACGAACGCUGGCGGCGUGCUUAACACAUGCAAGUCGAACGGAAAGGCCCUGCUUUUGUUGGGUGCUCGAGUGGCGAACGGGUGAGUAACACGUGAGUAACCUGCCCUUGACUUUGUGAUAUCUUCAGGCAACUGGGGCUAAUACCUGAUAGGAUCUCCUGCUGCAUGGUGGGGUUUGGAAAUUUUCGGCUGUUGGGGAGUGACUCGCGGCUUGUCAGCUUGUUGGGGGGGUAGUGGCUUACCCAGGGUUUGACGGGUAGCCGGCAUGGGAGGGUGAACGGGCACAAGAGGACUGCGAGAGGGAGCAGAGUGGAACGGGAGGCAGCAGGGGGGAGUAUGGCACAAUGGGGGGAAGCCUGAUGAAGAAGCGCCGCGGGCGGAAUGACGGCCUGCGGGUUGAAAAAAGCGUGAGCCUGAGACGAAGAGGGAGUGACGGUAAUGGGUAAAGAAGCACCGGCUAACUACGUG
rnacentral:rRNA from 1 species